AGUAAUGUCUGGGAAACUGCCUGAUGGAGGGGGAUAACUGCUGGAAACAGUAGCUAAUACCGCAUAACGUCGCAAGACCAAAGAGGGGGACCUUCGGGCCUCUUGCCAUCGGAUGUGCCCAGAUGGGAUUAGCUAGUAGGUGGGGUAACGGCUCACCUAGGCGACGAUCCCUAGCUGGUCUGAGAGGAUGGCCAGCCACACUGGAACUGAGACACGGUCCAG
rnacentral:rRNA from 1 species